UACGUAGGGACCAAGCGUUGUUCGGAUUUACUGGGCGUAAAGGGCGCGUAGGCGGCGAAUCAAGUCAGUUGUGAAAUCUCCGAGCUUAACUCGGAACGGUCAACUGAUACUGUUUUGCUAGAGUACAGAAGGGGCAACCGGAAUUCUUGGUGUAGCGGUGAAAUGCGUAGAUAUCAAGAGGAACACCUGAGGUGAAGACGGGUUGCUGGGCUGAUACUGACGCUGAGGCGCGAAAGCUAGGGUAGCAAACGGG
rnacentral:rRNA from 1 species